rnacentral:rRNA from 1 species
AGGACGAACGCUGGCGGCGUGCCUAACACAUGCAAGUGGAGCGACGAACCAGGCUUCGGCCUGGGGCAGAGCCGCGAACGGGUGAGUAACACGUGGGUAACCUGCCCUGAUGAUUGGGACAACCCGAGGAAACUCGGGCUAAUACCGAAUGUGCCCUCUGGCCUCAAGGCCUCUGGGGAAAGGAAGCUUCGGCCUCCGCAUCGGGAUGGGCCCGCGGCCCAUUAGCUUGUUGGUGAGGUAACGGCUCACCAAGGCAACGAUGGGUAGCUGGUCUGAGAGGACGAUCAGCCACACUGGGACUGAGACACGGCCCAGACUCCUACGGGAGGCAGCAGUGGGGAAUCUUGCGCAAUGCGCGAAAGCGUGACGCAGCAACGCCGCGUGGGGGAAGACGGCCUUCGGGUUGUAAAGCUCUGUCGGAGGGAAGAACGACAAUGACGGUACCCUCCAAGAACGCCCGGCUAACUACGUGCCAGCAGCCGC